UCCCUGGAGGACUAGUGGUUAGGCCUUGGCGCGCUCACCAUCAUGGCUCGGGUUUGAUUCCUGGCCAGGGAA
rnacentral:tRNA from 1 species